UACGGAGGGUGCGAGCGUUGUCCGGAAUCAUUGGGCGUAAAGCGCGUGUAGGCGGUCCGGUAAGUCCGCUGUGAAAGUCGGGGGCUCAACCCUCGAAUGCCGGUGGAUACUGUCGGGCUAGAGUGCGGAAGAGGCGAGUGGAAUUCCUGGUGUAGCGGUGAAAUGCGCAGAUAUCAGGAGGAACACCAAUUGCGAAGGCAGCUCGCUGGGACGUUACUGACGCUGAGACGCGAAAGCGUGGGGAGCAAACAGG
rnacentral:rRNA from 1 species